UACGGAGGGUGCAAGCGCUAUCCGGAUUUACUGGGUUUAAAGGGUGCGUAGGUGGGUCUGUAAGUCAGGGGUGAAAUCUCCGGGCUUAACCCGGAAACUGCCAUUGAUACUAUAGAUCUUGAAUAUCCUGGAGGUGAGCGGAAUAUGUCAUGUAGCGGUGAAAUGCUUAGAUAUGACAUAGAACACCAAUUGCGAAGGCAGCUCACUACGGGAUCAUUGACACUGAGGCACGAAAGCGUGGGGAUCAAACAGG
rnacentral:rRNA from 1 species